UAACUACUCCCUCCGUCCUGAAUUACUCGUCAGAGAAAUUGAUAGAAAUGGAUGUAUCUAGAUUCUAGAACCAAAAAUACGUCUAGAUACAUUCAUUUAUGCGACAAAUAAUUCGGGACGGAGGGAGUAUGAU
rfam:Triticum aestivum genome assembly, contig: Triticum_aestivum_CS42_TGACv1_scaffold_160876_2DL